AAAUUGAAGAGUUUGAUCAUGGCUCAGAUUGAACGCUGGCGGCAGGCCUAACACAUGCAAGUCGAACGGUAGCACAGAGAGCUUGCUCUCGGGUGACGAGUGGCGGACGGGUGAGUAAUGUCUGGGAAACUGCCUGAUGGAGGGGGAUAACUACUGGAAACGGUGGCUAAUACCGCAUAACGUCGCAAGACCAAAGAGGGGGACCUUCGGGCCUCUUGCCAUCAGAUGUGCCCAGAUGGGAUUAGCUAGUUGGUGAGGUAACGGCUCACCAAGGCGACGAUCCCUAGCUGGUCUGAGAGGAUGACCAGCCACACUGGAACUGAGACACGGUCCAGACUCCUACGGGAGGCAGCAGUGGGGAAUAUUGCACAAUGGGCGCAAGCCUGAUGCAGCCAUGCCGCGUGUAUGAAGAAGGCCUUCGGGUUGUAAAGUACUUUCAGCGGGGAGGAAGGUGUUGUGGUUAAUAACCUCAGCAAUUGACGUUACCCGCAGAAGAAGCACCGGCUAACUCCGUGCCAGCAGCCGCGGUAAUACGGAGGGUGCAAGCGUUAAUCGGAAUUACUGGGCGUAAAGCGCACGCAGGCGGUCUGUCAAGUCGGAUGUGAAAUCCCCGGGCUCAACCUGGGAACUGCAUUCGAAACUGGCAGGCUUGAGUCUUGUAGAGGGGGGUAGAAUUCCAGGUGUAGCGGUGAAAUGCGUAGAGAUCUGGAGGAAUACCGGUGGCGAAGGCGGCCCCCUGGACAAAGACUGACGCUCAGGUGCGAAAGCGUGGGGAGCAAACAGGAUUAGAUACCCUGGUAGUCCACGCCGUAAACGAUGUCUACUUGGAGGUUGUGCCCUUGAGGCGUGGCUUCCGGAGCUAACGCGUUAAGUAGACCGCCUGGGGAGUACGGCCGCAAGGUUAAAACUCAAAUGAAUUGACGGGGGCCCGCACAAGCGGUGGAGCAUGUGGUUUAAUUCGAUGCAACGCGAAGAACCUUACCUGGUCUUGACAUCCACGGAAGUUUUCAGAGAUGAGAAUGUGCCUUCGGGAACCGUGAGACAGGUGCUGCAUGGCUGUCGUCAGCUCGUGUUGUGAAAUGUUGGGUUAAGUCCCGCAACGAGCGCAACCCUUAUCCUUUGUUGCCAGCGGUCCGGCCGGGAACUCAAAGGAGACUGCCAGUGAUAAACUGGAGGAAGGUGGGGAUGACGUCAAGUCAUCAUGGCCCUUACGACCAGGGCUACACACGUGCUACAAUGGCGCAUACAAAGAGAAGCGACCUCGCGAGAGCAAGCGGACCUCAUAAAGUGCGUCGUAGUCCGGAUUGGAGUCUGCAACUCGACUCCAUGAAGUCGGAAUCGCUAGUAAUCGUGGAUCAGAAUGCCACGGUGAAUACGUUCCCGGGCCUUGUACACACCGCCCGUCACACCAUGGGAGUGGGUUGCAAAAGAAGUAGGUAGCUUAACCUUCGGGAGGGCGCUUACCACUUUGUGAUUCAUGACUGGGGUGAAGUCGUAACAAGGUAACCGUAGGGGAACCUGCGGUUGGAUCACCUCCUUA
rnacentral:rRNA from 1 species